AGUCACUUUAAGAUGUUUUUUUUGGUCCGUGUUUUUUCGUUGUCUUUUGUUUGUUGCGGUUGCACCCGAUUCAAGAGCCGAAUGGCUCAUAGUGCUACACCAAGUAAAUGAAAACUGAAACUUAAACGGAAUCGCUUGGGUGGAUUGGGUGAGGGACCGUGUCCGGUCGGAUCGCUUGGCCCGCGUGAUGCCUCGGGUUCCCCGGGCAGCUUGGCUAGGCGAGUGCCCAGGCUUCGCCUAGGGGUUUCGUUUACGUCGCUCAACUCGCUCUCUCUAUCCUCGCCAGGGUCUGCGUGAGAGAAGUCGUGGGGAGGCAGGGAGGGACGGACUCUUGAGGUCUCGCUCGCUCUCUGCGUGAGAGAAGUCGUGGGGAGGGGAAGGACAACUUCUGAGGCCUGCCCCGGUUGUUUCCCACCCAGACGGACUGCGGACGGAGGCGGGGAAGGGACCACCACCACCACCACCCACCACCACCACCACCACCGCCACGUGAGACUCGGUGAGACAGCAGAGAGGCCUCCGGGUGGUGCCGGGCUGAGAGGGAGGCGCGCGGGGUUAGAUGCCGAGAGAGACACUUGUAACAGGCUGUAGGGGCAAGUGCUGUUAGCGAGAACCUACAGAGACACAGACAAAGAUCCCCCGUGUAGCCUGUAACAGGCUG